CCUGACUGCUAUCGGAUUGAUACUAAGCCAUGCGAGUCUUUGUAGUAAUACAAGGCAUACGGCUCAGUAACGCGUAGUCAACCUACCCUAUGGACAAGAAUAAUCUCGGGAAACUGAGCAUAAUUCUUGAUAGAUCAUAAUGCCUGGAAUGGUUUAUGGUUAAAAUGAUUCGUCGCCAUAGGAUGGGACUGCGGCCUAUCAGCUUGUUGGUGAGGUAAUGGCCCACCAAGGCGAUUACAGGUACGGGCUCUGAGAGGAGAAGCCCGGAGAUGGGUACUGAGACAAGGACCCAGGCCCUAUGGGGCGCAGCAGGCGAGAAAACUUUGCAAUGUGCGAAAGCACGACAAGGUUAGUCCGAGUGAUUUCUGCUAAAGAGAUCUUUUGCUAGUUAUAAAACCACUAGUGAAUAAGGGGUGGGCAAGUUCUGGUGUCAGCCGCCGCGGUAAAACCAGCACCUCAAGUGGUCAGGAUGAUUAUUGGGCCUAAAGCAUCCGUAGCCGGCUCUGUAAGUUUUCGGUUAAAUCCAUACGCUCAACGUAUGGGCUGCCGAAAAUACUGCAGAGAUAGGGAGUGGGAGAGGUAGACGGUACUCGGUAGGAAGGGGUAAAAUCCUUUGAUCUAUCGAUGACCACCUGUGGCGAAGGCGGUCUACCAGAACACGUUCGACGGUGAGGGAUGAAAGCUGGGGGAGCAAACCGGAUUAGAUACCCGGGUAGUCCCAGCUGUAAACGAUGCAGACUCGAUGAUGCAUUGGCAUAUAGCCAGUGCAGUGUCGCAGGGAAGCCGUUAAGUCUGCCGCCUGGGAAGUACGUACGCAAGUAUGAAACUUAAAGGAAUUGGCGGGGGAGCACCACAAGGGGUGAAGCCUGCGGUUC
rnacentral:rRNA from 1 species